GAUGAACGCUGGCGGCGUGCCUAAUACAUGCAAGUCGAGCGAACAGACGAGGAGCUUGCUCCUCUGACGUUAGCGGCGGACGGGUGAGUAACACGUGGAUAACCUACCUAUAAGACUGGGAUAACUUCGGGAAACCGGAGCUAAUACCGGCUCAUAUAUUGAACCGCAUGGUUCAAUAGUGAAAGACGGUUUUGCUGUCACUUAUAGAUGGAUCCGCGCCGCAUUAGCUAGUUGGUAAGGUAACGGCUUACCAAGGCAACGAUGCGUAGCCGACCUGAGAGGAUGAUCGGCCACACUGGAACUGAGACACGGUCCAGACUCCUACGGGAGGCAGCAGUAGGGAAUCUUCCGCAAUGGGCGAAAGCCUGACGGAGCAACGCCGCGUGAGUGAUGAAGGUCUUCGGAUCGUAAAACUCUGUUAUUAGGGAAGAACAAAUGUGUAAGUAACUAUGCACGUCUUGACGGUACCUAAUCAGAAAGCCACGGCUAACUACGUG
rnacentral:rRNA from 1 species